AUUGUUUCUGACGAUAGUUGACGAAGUAGAUGAGGUGCUUAGAGUUGGACCAGAAGUUUGAGAACACCUCGAAGACUUUGCUGAGCCAGGCAAGCAGGCCUUUUACCAUGACUGUGAAACCAUUUUUAUGCAUGUCAUAUGCCACUUUGUUACAUUGCAUCUGAAUCAUGAUGAAUCGUUGACCACCUUGGUUGGUUGUCUCCGAUGUUUCCUAGUUGAUACUUGCACUAAGAAUGACCCUCCCUUUCUGUGAGGGUUCUGUGGGUUGGAAGUAGUUAGGAUGCUAGUAGUUGCUAUGCUAAUGGGAUGGGAAAAUGCACGGUGUCGGAAAAUAAAUGAUUUCGAAAACUUUUCAGAAACCCCGUCGGGUGCAACUAAUGCCCGAGGAAGAUGGUGUUUAGUUAGGUAACCACUUGAGGAAUAAGU
rnacentral:lncRNA from 1 species